CAAUCGAAAUUCUUCAAACCCGUACCCAUAACUUUCUGCAGUUAUGGGUAAAGCAAACAGAAUCUCAAACCGAGUUAUAGAGAGGGCGCAGUUAACCUUUAAGUGUAGCACUGUCCAAACACAUUUUCUGCAGAAAUCCUGUUUCGUAUCUUCAACUUUAACAUCACCUACAUAACGCAUUGUAACUCCGAAUCCGAUGAAAUUUGAUAUUCCAACAAGGGUAAAUUCGUUAGCUUUACAGAACUUAAAGAAUUAACGAGUUACAGGGAAGGAGUACUUAUUGUUUUUCUGAAAGUAUAUCCAAAAACGAAAUUCAACACAAUCUCUUUCAAAAGUCACCAAUCAAAACUUCAAGCUUCAAGCAUGAACCCAUGACUCCUUGACUACUAUAUCUCACAUACAAGCUCUCAAUUAAAAAAGGAAGGGAGUACUCAUCAGAUUUUGGUUGAAUAAUUAAAAAGGGAAAUUACAAGGAUUCUGUUAAAGAAAAGGAAAAGGUAAGUUUGUUACCUUGUUUACUUAUGGCUAGAGAAGUUGCUACCUUUCCUUAGUUCCAAGCUUGAAUUGAAGAGAAUGGUUAGAGUGAGAGGGAGUAGGCGUGAGAGGAAGAGGGAGUAUUGGAAUGGUUACUGAGAAAUGAAUUUGAUAGAAAAUGGGUGAUCUUGGAGUGGUUAGGCAAUUAAAUACUCUUCAUGCUCAAAUUACCAACUU
rnacentral:lncRNA from 1 species